AGAGGGAGAGAGAGAGAACAGAAGAGGUAGUGAAGAGAGCAGACGAGAAGUCAAGAACCUGAAAUUUCCUCCAAAAGGUUGCUGAGUGGUGUGGAUGUUCUGAAGUGAAUUUGACGCUGGGGAGAAGAACGUGGUCCUGAAGAAGAACAGAAAGAGGGAAAAUGAACGGACGAGAGCUCAUCUGCCUGCUUGUGCUCUUCGCAGUUGCUGUACAUGCUGAAGAUCCAGAGUUUGAUACAAGAAACCUGGAAAUCUCUGGUACUAAGUCACCCUGAUCUGUCCAGAAGACCCUGAGAGUUGGAAAAAAGAUGAGAAAGAUGCAGAAGGGACAGAAGAAAAUAAAUUAAUCAUACAUGGCUACAAAGAUAAGGACAAUGGAUUUUAUGAGUGCACCUCAACGUCCAAAAAUAAAUACUAUUUCUACACCAAGCUAAAGGUGUGUGACGGCUGCGUGGACUUGGACAUGGGAUGGGCUACAACGAUCGUGAUUGGAGAUAUUUUGGUCACUCUCAUGGUCAUCCUUAUAGUCUACCUGUGCGCUAAGAAGAAGGCCGGUCCUGCGCCUCGUCAGAGAGCAACCCCAAGCCGUCAGGCGGGCGCUCCUCCUCCUCCAAACCCCGAUUACCAGGUUCUGAAUCCGGCCACACGCAGCAGAGACGUGUAUGCCGAGGCGGUACGGAAACACUGAAGACCUGCUGGACCCACCCAAACAGCAUCUUCAGUUGGUUCAUUUGCUUGAAACUCAGGAACUGUUAAAAGCGAGGUUUAGCACAGUCCCCAACUUCAGUCUAAUGGUUCAGUCAAAAACCUAAUUUUACAAGACAUUGAAUUUUGGCUGAGCCAUCAGUUUAAGCCUUGCAUGAGGUGCUUUGAAAACACCUUUGAUUUCUUUUUUCCGUUCGAAAGUUUGGCAUCACUGUUUUCAAUUGGCAAUAUAACAACUGUUAUUAAUAUCCAGAAAGUCUUGUAUUUGAACUGUGAUCAAGGUGAUCAAAUUUUGGGUCGUUUCUUUUGGUUCAUUCAUCAUGAAAUUUACACACAAUGUAAAAAACAACAGGCAUUUUCAAAUUAUAUCAAAAACUGAAAAACGUCAAAAAUGGAGAUAAGGGGUUUUGUUCUGAAAACAGCGCUACAUAAAACCAUUAACUAACCAUAGUCUUUCCUGAAGAACCCUUGGAGAACCUCCUUUGAAGUCUUUUCUUAAACAAACAAUUAAAAAACAUUCUGGAAUUGGGUUUAUAGUAUCUACACCAUAGAAGUUAUGUUUGAAAAUAACAACAGUUAUUAAGCGAGCAAGUGAUUCCAAACUUUCGAACAGUAGUGUGUAUACAGCACUGUUGUACCUUCGAGUAAUUCGGGGCACGUUGUACUCUUUACAGCUGCAGCAGAUUGAGAAUUCAGGUCUGAUAAAUCAGGAAAUAAACACAAAAAACGAGAAUUAGGAGCUAAAUGUUGAUGAGUAAAAUGUAACCGAGUAAAAAGUAGAUUACUCUCCUCACUGAUGUGCUUAAAUAGAGGUAUUAAAUACUUACAUAUUGUUUAAAGUAUUUAGGAAAGUGUAAAUUCUUUAAAAUGUUACUUGAGUUGCUGGAAUGAAGCUGAAUGAGUUACCAAACUCUUCCUCUUUAUCUCACAUCUUAUCAUCAAAUAAAAGCUUUGCUCUGUAAAUUUGCUCACAGUUAUGCUGAGGUUGAUUACUGAGUGAUUAUAUGGCUGCUUAUGAAUUUCACCAAAACUCACUGCUUUUCUGGGUCACGUUUUAUUUUGAAAGUUCCCUGUAGAUCAUCUACAGACACUUUAACUGACAAACUAUCUGGUGGAACUCAACUGAUUAUUAACCAUAUUUAUAUCAGGGCUACAUUUAGGAUUAGGGUUGAAGUUGAGGUUGGGUUUAGGUUUAGGAUUAUGAUUAGGUUUCAGUUUUGGAUUUAAAAUUAGGGCUAAGUUUAGGGUUUAGGGUGAGGUUUAGGUUAGUGUUAAAUUUAAGGGUAGGCUUAAGUUUAGAUUUUGGGUUAAGGGCAAGGUCAGGUUUAGGUUUAGAUUUUGGGUUGAAGUUAAGGUUAGGUUUACAUUUUGGGUUAAGGUUGGAUUUAGGUUUAGAUUUUGGGUUGAAGUUAAGACUGAGUUUAAGUUUAGAAUUUGGGUUAAGGUUAUGGUCAGGUUUACAUUUAGAUUUUGGGUUGAAGUUAAGGUCAGGUUUAGGUUUACAUUUUGGGUUAAUAUUAAGGUUGAGUUAUAGAUUUGGUUUAAAGUUAAGAAUAGGCUUAGGUUUAGAUUUUUGAAUAAAGUUAAGGUUGGGUUUAGGAUAGAUUUUGAGUUACAUGUAAGAGUAAGCUUAGGUUUAGAUUUUGGGUUAAAGUUAAGAGUAGGCUUAGGAUUUGGGUUAAAGUUAGGCUCAGGUUUAGGUUUUGAGUCAAAUGUUAUAGGAUUAGGUUUAAAUUUUGGGUUGAAGUAAGGUUUUGGUUUAGGUUAGAACUAGGUUUUGGGUUAAAGUUAGAUUUAGAUUUGUAUUGAAAGUUAUUGAUAGAUUUGGGUUUAGGAUAAGGUUUAGGUUUUGAGUUGAUGGUUAGGGGUAUGUUUAGGAUUAAUCUAACACAUUGAACUUAGCCUUCAGCUGCAUUUAAUUGUUUUUUAAUCAAAGACAAACUGAGCUAUGACGCAUCUACAGUGGACUCUCAAAAUAAAGUUAGACCCAUGUCUGUUUUCUAAGUACAAAGAAGACUAGAACAUUCUAUAUGCUGUCUAAAUGUGUGGUCUUAUGAUAUUUGCCAUAAAGCCAUAGUUUUUUAACAGUGUCAUACUUUUGGUCAGAUCAGCCCAUGACUAUCAGCUCCAGUGCUGAAGAAUCACUCAACAGAAUAUAUGUGUAAAUAAAGACACCAUCUCCAUCUCAGCUUUCACCUUUCAUAAUUACCCUGAUUUUCUUUCAGCUUGUUAAUGUAUAGUAUUGAAUAAUGUGUGAAAUGGUUUUCUUAUUGUUUUUGUUCUAUACUCUAUUCUGUUACUAUUCUACAACAGUGCAAAUGUUGUUUCUUCUUCAGGUUAAAGUUUAAUUCAUGUUUAUUUUUUUAAAAAUCAUAAUGUCUAAAAGUCAUUUUUGCUGAAAAAAAAACAGCUGAAAAUAUGAAGGCUAUUGUAACUUACUGUUGAAAUUUCCUUUAGUAGACUAAUAGACAGGACAGUAAAAUGGAAACUUUAGUUAAACUUAAGAUCAAAUCAUAAGAUAUGAUUUGAAAUAUGCCAUUGUACACAUUUCACAACAUAUUUCUGAAGAGACGUGUUUAACAUUUAUUUGUUUUUCAGUCUGAAUUUCUUUCACUAAAUUUCACAAUAAAGUCAUAUUUGCAA